GCCUCGGUAGCUCAGUUGGUAGAGCAGAGGACUGAAAAUCCUCGUGUCGGCGGUUCGAUUCCGCCCUGAGGCACCA
rnacentral:tRNA from 14 species